rnacentral:rRNA from 1 species
AGUCGAGCGGACUUGAUGGAGUGCUUGCACUUCUGAUGGUUAGCGGCGGACGGGUGAGUAACACGUAGGCAACCUGCCCUCAAGACUGGGAUAACUACCGGAAACGGUAGCUAAUACCGGAUAAUUUAUUUUGCUGCAUGGUGAAAUAAUGAAAGGCGGAGCAAUCUGUCACUUGAGGAUGGGCCUGCGGCGCAUUAGCUAGUUGGUGGGGUAACGGCCCACCAAGGCGACGAUGCGUAGCCGACCUGAAAGGGUGAACGGCCACACUGGGACUGAGACACGGCCCAGACUCCUACGGGAGGUAGCUUUAAGGAAUCUUCCGCAAUGGGCGAAAGCCUGACGGAGCAACUGCGCGUGAGUGAUGAAGGUUUUCGGAUCCUAAAGCUCUGUUGCCAAGGAAGAACGUCUUCUAGAGUAACUGCUAUGAGAGUGACGGGGCGGGGGAAGAAAACCCCGGCUAACUACAUGCCAUUUCCCAUGAUAAUACCUAAGGGGCAAGCGUUGACCGGAAUUAUUGGGCGUAAAGCGCGCGCACGCGGUUCUUUAAGUCUGGUGUUGCCACCCAAGGCUCAACUUCAGGUCGCACUGAUGACUGGUCAACUUGAGUGCUGAAGAGGAGAGUGGAAUUCCACGUGUAGCGGUGAAAUGCGUACAUAUGUGUAGGAACACCAGUGGCGAAAGCCACUCUCUGGGCUGUAACUGACACUGAGGCUCAAAAGCGUGCAGAGCAGACAGAACUACAUAUACUGGUAGUCCACGCCGUAAACGAUGAAUGCUAGGUGUUAGGGGUUUCGAUACCCUUGGUGCCGAAGUUAACACAUUAAGCAUUCUGCCUGGGGAGUACGGUCGCAAGACUGAAACUCAAAGGAAUUGACGGGGACCCGCACAAGCAGUGGAGUAUGUGGUUUAAUUCGAAGCAACGCGAAGACCCUUACCAAGUCUUGACAUCCCUCUGAAUCCUCUAGAGAUAGAGGCCGCCUUCGGGCGAAAGGUGACAGGUGGUGCAUGAUUGUCGUCAGCUCCUGUCGUGAGAUGUUGGGUUAAGUCUCGCAACGAGCCAACCUCUUGAAUUUAGUUGCCAGUCCUUUGGGUGGCCACUCUAGAAUGACUGGCGGUGACAACCCGAAGAAAGGCGGGGAUGACGUCAAAUCAUCAUGCCCCUUAUGACUUGGGCUACACACGUACUACAAUGGCUGGUACAACGGGAAGCGAAGCCGCGAGGUGGAGCCAAUCCUAUAA